rnacentral:tRNA from 1 species
AGUAAAAUGGCUGAAUAUUAAGUGAUAAAUUGUAAAUUUAUUUAUAAGUUAAAAUUUUUUUACUA